GGUGGCCCCGUCCCUACUCACCCCGUGUGUCUUCCUCAGGAUGGAGCCCAAGGGCACGCUGCUGCCCCAACCCUCCUCGGAGCCAUGGCUCACUGCAGGGCAGAGGAGGAGCUAAUCUGUCUCUGGCAGGAGCGGAGCUGCCAUCUCCUUCCUGUCCACAGCCUCAUGAAGGACAGAGACUCCAGCAUGAGGAUGGCGAGCUUCUUGCCGUCUGCAGUUCCCGCCUUCCCCAAACCCCUCCCAGCUCAUCUUUACCUCCCUCAGUUCCUGAUCCCAGCUUCUCCGGCCCACAGACCCUGACUCUGGCUCUCCAUUCUCAGACAGCCAAUCUCACCACCUGCUGCCUUAAACGAACGCUGCUUCCAGUACAUCCUUUACGAGCUCCGUGGGAUCUAGGCCGAAGACGAUUUCCAGGACUUGGCCUAGAAUCUUACAGAACGCCAGGUCAGGGACCUUACCCAGCAGGCCCUGGUCGGUUUGAAGAGCUCCAGCCUGGCCAGGGUGACCCACGCAGUCAUGGUCCUCCCCGUCCUGCUGCAGAAGCCCGGGGCCACAGCCGAUCAGGUGGUCGACCUCAGGAGGACUAUGCACCUACACAUCCACUCCUCCCACACCCUGGCCUGGAAGACCCUCUUCCUGAAAGCCCUGACCCUGCUCACCUGCCACCAUCCUCAGGCCACG
rnacentral:lncRNA from 1 species